rnacentral:rRNA from 1 species
GACGAACGCUGGCGGCGUGCUUAACACAUGCAAGUCGAACGGAAAGGCCCUGCUUUUGUGGGGUGCUCGAGUGGCGAACGGGUGAGUAACACGUGAGUAACCUGCCCUUGACUUUGGGAUAACUUCAGGAAACUGGGGCUAAUACCGGAUAGGAGAUCCUGCUGCUUGGUGGGGGUUGGAAAGUUUCGGCGGUUGGGGAUGGACUCGCGGCUUAUCAGCUUGUUGGUAGGGUAGUGGCUUACCAAGGCUUUGACGGGUAGCCGACAUGCGCGGGUUGACGGGCACAGUGGGACUGAGGUAGGGACCAGACUCCUACGGGCGGCAGCAGGGGAGAAUAUUGCAGAAUGGACGGAAGACUGAGACAGAAACGCCGCGUGCGGGAAACCGGCCUUCGGGUUAUAAACAGAUGUCGCCUGUGACGAAGCGUGAGUGACGGUAAUAAAUAAAGAAGCACCGGCUAACUACGUG